rnacentral:rRNA from 1 species
UACGUAGGGAGCAAGCGUUGUCCGGAAUCAUUGGGCGUAAAGCGCGCGUAGGCGGCCCUGUAAGUCCGUUGUGAAAGUCAAAGGCUCAACCUUUGAAAGCCGAUGGAUACUGCAGGGCUAGAGUCCGGAAGAGGCGAGUGGAAUUCCUGGUGUAGCGGUGAAAUGCGCAGAUAUCAGGAGGAACACCGAUGGUGAAGGCAGGUCUCUGGGCAUUAACUGACGCUGAGGAGCGAAAGCAUGGGGAGCGAACAGG